rnacentral:rRNA from 1 species
CGUGGAUGAGGCAUGCAAGUCGAACGGAUGAAGUAGAGCUUGCUCUAUGGAUUCAGUGGCGAAAGGGUUAGUAAUACAUGGGUAACCUACCUUUGACUCGGGAAUAACGGCUGGAAACGGUCGCUAAUACCGGAUGUGGUGGAAGUUGGACAUCCAAUUUCUAUUAAAGCGGGGGAUCGCAAGACCUCGCGGUCAAUGAAGGGCCCAUGAGAUAUCAGCUUGUUGGUGAGGUAGAGGCUCACCAAGGCUAAGACGUCUAGGCGGAUUGAGAGGUCGACCGCCAACACUGGGACUGAGACACUGCCCAGACUCCUACGGGAGGCUGCAGUCGAGAAUCAUUCACAAUGGGCGAAAGCCUGAUGAUGCGACGCCGUGUGAGCGAUGAAGGCCUUAGGGUUGUAAAGCUCUUUCGCCUGGGAACAAGGGAGGUCGAUUAAUACCCGGCCAACUUGAGGGUACCAGGUAAAGAAGCACCGGCUAACUCCGUGCCAGCAGCUGCGGUAAUACGGAGGGUGCGAGCAUUAAUCGGAUUUACUGGGCGUAAAGAGCGCGUAGGCGGGAAGAUAAGUCAGAUGUGAAAUCCCGGGACUCAACCCCGGAAUUGCAUCCGAAACUAUUUUUCUUGAGGGUAGGCGGAGAAAACGGAAUUCCACGUGUAGCGGUGAAAUGCGUAGAUACGUGGAGGAACACCGGUGGCGAAGGCGGUUUUCUAGCUUAUUCCUGACGCUAAGGCGCGAAAGCAAGGGGAGCAAACAGGAUUAGAUACCCUGGUAGUCCUUGCCGUAAACGAUGCACACUUGGUGUAGCUGGUCUCAACCCCAGCUUUGCCGGAGCUAACGCGUUAAGUGUGCCGCCUGGGGAGUACGCCCGCAAGGGUGAAACUCAAAAGAAUUGACGGGGACCCGCACAAGCAGUGGGGCAUGUGGUUUAAUUCGAUGCAACGCGAAGAACCUUACCCAGACUUGACAUAUAGUGGACCGCCUUGGAAACAAGGCUUCUCGUAGAGUCGCUAUACAGGUGCUGCAUGGCUGUCGUCAGCUCGUGCCGUGAGGUGUUGGGUUAAGUCCCGCAACGAGCGCAACCCUUAUCGUUAGUUGCCAGCAUUUCGGAUGGGAACUCUAACGAGACUGCCUAGGUUAACUAGGAGGAAGGUGAGGAUGACGUCAAGUCAGCAUGGCCCUUAUGUCUGGGGCUACACACGUGCUACAAUGGCCGGUACAGAAGGAAGCGAAACCGCGAGGUGAAGCAAAUCCAAAAAGCCGGUCUCAGUUCGGAUUGUAGUCUGCAACUCGACUACAUGAAGUGGGAAUUGCUAGUAAUGGCGCGUCAGCACAGCGCCGUGAAUACGUUCUCGGGUCUUGUACACACCGCCCGUCACAUCACGGGAGUUGGUUUUGCCCGAAGUCGCUGACUCAACCGCAAGGGGAGAGGCGCCGAAGGUGAGGCCGAUGACUGGGAUGAAGUCGAAACAAGGUA